GUGGGGAAUCUUGCGCAAUGGGCGAAAGCCUGACGCAGCCAUGCCGCGUGAAUGAUGAAGGUCUUAGGAUUGUAAAAUUCUUUCACCGGGGACGAUAAUGACGGUACCCGGAGAAGAAGCCCCGGCUAACUUCGUGCCAGCAGCCGCGGUAAUACGAAGGGGGCUAGCGUUGCUCGGAAUUACUGGGCGUAAAGGGCGCGUAGGCGGACAGUUUAGUCAGAGGUGAAAGCCCAGGGCUCAACCGUGGAAUUGCAUUUGAUACUGGCUGUCUUGAGUACGGGAGAGGUAUGUGGAACUCCGAGUGUAGAGGUGAAAUUCGUAGAUAUUCGGAAGAACACCAGUGGCGAAGGCGACAUACUGGUCCAUUACUGACGCUGAGGCUCGAAAGCGUGGGGAGCAAACAGGAUUAGAUACCCCAGUAGUCC
rnacentral:rRNA from 1 species